UACAGAGGAGCCAAGCGUUGUCCGGAUUGACUGGGCGUAAAGCGCGUGUAGGCGGCUAUGUAAGUCGGGCGUGAAAUCCCACGGCUCAACCGUGGAAGUGCACCCGAAACUGCGUAGCUAGAGUCCUGGAGAGGAAGGUGGAAUGCUUGGUGUAGAGGUGAAAUUCGUAGAUAUCAAGCGGAACACCGGUGGCGAAGGCGGCCUUCUGGACAGUGACUGACGCUGAGACGCGAAAGCGUGGGGAGCAAACAGG
rnacentral:rRNA from 1 species